rnacentral:rRNA from 1 species
AUGUGCCCUUCGGGGGAAAGAUUUAUCGCCUUUAGAGCGGCCCGCGUCUGAUUAGCUAGUUGGUGAGGUAAAGGCUCACCAAGGCGACGAUCAGUAGCUGGUCUGAGAGGAUGAUCAGCCACAUUGGGACUGAGACACGGCCCAAACUCCUACGGGAGGCAGCAGUGGGGAAUCUUGCGCAAUGGGCGAAAGCCUGACGCAGCCAUGCCGCGUGAAUGAUGAAGGUCUUAGGAUUGUAAAAUUCUUUCACCGGGGACGAUAAUGACGGUACCCGGAGAAGAAGCCCCGGCUAACUUCGUGCCAGCAGCCGCGGUAAUACGAAGGGGGCUAGCGUUGCUCGGAAUUACUGGGCGUAAAGGGAGCGUAGGCGGACAUUUAAGUCAGGGGUGAAAUCCCGGGGCUCAACCUCGGAAUUGCCUUUGAUACUGGGUGUCUUGAGUAUGAGAGAGGUGUGUGGAACUCCGAGUGUAGAGGUGAAAUUCGUAGAUAUUCGGAAGAACACCAGUGGCGAAGGCGACACACUGGCUCAUUACUGACGCUGAGGCUCGAAAGCGUGGGGAGCAAACAGGAUUAGAUACCCUGGUAGUCCACGCCGUAAACGAUGAUUGCUAGUUGUCGGGAUGCAUGCAUUUCGGUGACGCAGCUAACGCAUUAAGCAAUCCGCCUGGGGAGUACGGUCGCAAGAUUAAAACUCAAAGGAAUUG